rnacentral:lncRNA from 1 species
AUGGACUUAGGAGUUUGCUUGAAGCGACUUUUCAUUCAUAUUUCUUUUACAAAUAAUCUUCAUAUACACACUACAUACAUACAUAAGUUUGUGAGUGUAUUGCUAGUGUGUUGAGGGGUCUGCACCAACAUUUUGUAUGAGAGCCUAGGGCUCGUAGGAAGUGGGUUUGAAGAUCGGAGGAAGACUCCUCCGCCGCCGACGGGUGUGUCGGUCGGUCGGCGGAGGACAGUCGUAAAACAAGGUGUUGUUUCAAGGUCGUUUAACAGCAGAAGACGAAGACGUUAUGGUGUUCGGGUUAGCUGUUGUUGUGUGUAAGAACCAGUUGAGAUGACGGGGUGACCGUGAUGAACAUCGGUGUUCAUGGCUGUUAGCGAUAUUCAAAGGAAGAAGAUAUUAGGUUGUUCGGUUGUUAGUUGCGGGUUUGCGCAGUUGGUAUACAACCGAUGAUAACAGUAGAUGGUGAGAACGGGUACCUUGAUCAGAUUGUUCGUGAUAAGAGGAGACCGGCGUGGUGCGUGAAAACGCGCAGACAUGAUCCGUCAAAGCAGGUGGCUUUGGAUUCGUCUCGUUUGACAAGGUGAGAAAAUGGAAGAAGCGAGUGGCUUGUUUUCUUUGUCGGUGGAGAGCCUCUUGAACAAGGGUGAUCGAAAAAUAGUAAAGCAAAAAAAAAAAAAAAAAAACACACUGUAACAUUAUGGCGUUGGAGUUCAAUCGAGUGGCUUUGGAAAUGGCCGGGGUGAGGUCUUUGAUCCGUGAAAAGUCUUGAUGUUAGUGAGCAUUUCCAAUGAGAUGCCAUGUGACAUGUUACAAGUGUAGUGAGUUUUAUUCGGGUUGAACCAAGAAGACUUUGGACGUGAUCAGUGGAGAUCGAGUGUCCGGGAUAGGUCGUGACGGUUCGGGAAGGAAAAAAUGGUGGUUCGGUGCUAUAAGUGACGGGUGUGAACAAACCGAUUAAGAGGGUGAUUGUUGGGUUAAUCGGGUUUUGUUUGCGGGUCACGGGUCGGCACAUUAUCGGGUCAUGGUUCAAAUGGUUAUUCGUUUAAAGAUCACGGGUAUGGGUCAGCCGGUCACGGGUCAAGUAGCUAAAUGAUCCCGGGGUAAAUGGGUCUUUUGACAGUGUAAUUGGAGGUGACUUCGUGAGAUUGUUGAAGCCUUUUGCAACAAGUUUUGACCAAGUUAUGUGGACUUAGUUUAUUUAGCAUGUGGUUAUUAUUUAUUAUAUAUAGGGAGUAGAAGUAGCUCUAUUUUUUGUACCCGUUUUCUUCUUUAAUAACAAAAGUAACUUU